CAAUAGCGUAUAUUUAAGUUGUUGCAGUUAAAAAGCUCGUAGUUGGAUUUCGGUUAAGAGCGACCGGUCCGCCGUUUGGUGUGCACUGGUUGGUUUUAACUUCCUGUAGAGGACGUGCUCUGGGUUUAACGACCUGGACUCGGAGUCUACGUGGUUACUUUGAAAAAAUUAGAGUGUUCAAAGCGGGCUUACGCUUGAAUAUUUCAGCAUGGAAUAACACUAUAGGACUCCUGUCCUAUUUCGUUGGUCUCGGGACGGGAGUAAUGAUUAAGAGGAACAGUUGGGGGCAUUCGUAUUUCAUUGUCAGAGGUGAAAUUCUUGGAUUUAUGAAAGCCGAACUUCUGCGAAAGCAUUUGCCAAGGAUGUUUUCAUUAA
rnacentral:rRNA from 1 species